rnacentral:rRNA from 1 species
UACGGAGGGUGCAAGCGUUGCUCGGAAUCAUUGGGCGUAAAGCGUACGCAGGCUGUUCGUUAAGUCGGGUGUGAAAUCCCGGGGCUCAACCCCGGAACUGCGCCCGAAACUGGCGAGCUUGAAUGCGGGAGAGGGAAGCGGAAUUCCUGGUGUAGAGGUGAAAUUCGUAGAUAUCAGGAGGAACACCGGUGGCGAAAGCGGCUUCCUGGCCCGACAUUGACGCUCAUGUACGAAAGCGUGGGGAGCAAACAGG